AUCACUUCUUGGCCUUUUGGCUAAGAUCAAAUGUAGUAUCUGUUCUUAUCAGUUUAAUAUCUGAUACGUCCUCUAUCCAAGGACAAUAUAUUAAAUGGAUUUUUGGAGCAGGGAGAUGGAAUAGUAGCUUGCUCCAUCCACUCCACGCAUCGACCUGGUAUUGCAGUACUUCCAGUAACGGUGCGCGCGCA
rnacentral:snRNA from 1 species